rnacentral:rRNA from 1 species
GGGCCUUGUACACACCGCCCGUCACACCAUGGGAGUGGGUUGCUCCAGAAGUAGAUAGUCUAACCCUCGGGAGGACGUUUACCACGGAGUGAUUCAUGACUGGGGUGAAGUCGUAACAAGGUAGCCCUAGGGGAACCUGGGGCUGGAUCACCUCCUUAUACGA